rnacentral:rRNA from 1 species
GACGAACGCUGGCGGCGUGCUUAACACAUGCAAGUCGAGCGGUAAGGCCCUUUCGGGGGUACGACGAGCGGCGAACGGGUGAGUAACACGUGGGUGACCUGCCCUCAGCUCUGGGAGUAAGCCUGGGAAACCGGGGUCUAAUACCGGAUAUGACUCCAUGACGCAUGUUGUGGGGUGGAAAGCCUUGUGCGGCUGAGGAUGGGCCCGCGGCCUAUCAGCUUGUUGGUGGGGUGAUGGCCUACCAAGGCGACGACGGGUAGCCGGCCUGAGAGGGCGACCGGCCACACUGGGACUGAGACACGGCCCAGACUCCUACGGGAGGGCAGCAGUGGGGAAUCUUGCGCGAUGGGCGAAAGCCUGACGCAGCGACGCCGCGUGAGGGAUGACGGCC